AGUAGUAAGCACUCUGUGGAGCGAGGAACCUGCAAGCUGUGACUGGAAGAAAAAAGUGGCUUUUUUUUUUUGGUGUAGGCUCAAGAGGCUACGGGUUCCUGCAGGGGUCAAAAUAUCACCCAGCGGGCAUGCGCAUGCACAGUGAAGGCUGGGUGGGCCUAUCCAGUGUUAACCCACUCAGCUCCAACAAGGCACAGCUCAGUCCAAGUUUCUAGACGAUUCGGGCAAACGUUGUUUAGGUUAUUUGCAUGUGCAAGUUGUAAAUGACCUUCAUUAGUGAAGGACCUGUUUUCAACUGGAGUUGCUGAGGCCAGGCAGAAUGUACCCCAGUAUUUUAGUUUCUGGCCAUCCUACCAGGAGGAACACCGCACCCUCUCCUCCACCACAGCGUUUGCCACUGUCAUAGUUUGCUUUCGGUUCCAAGACUGUCUUCCUUAGGGGCUAAGGUUCAAGUUCCAGCGACAUUUACUGGGUGCUCGCCGGUUCCUGCCGCCAUGCUCCUCCUCCACAGUCCUGGGAGCCACCGUCCUCCCCGACUCAGAGAUGACGCGGAACAGGUCCCAGCGCCAACGCACAGCAGGUACCAGGCCAGUUCAAGGAAUUAGAAGGAAAAUGAAAAGUAAGCGCUACAUAAAGGUGCAGAAUGUUGUGAGAAUUCAGAAGAAAUGAAUUCUGGCUGGCGGAAGGGAGAAGAAGCGGGAUGGCCUCACAGAAAAGCCGUUUUGAAGGUUGGAUUGGUGGGAAAAGGAAAUUCUGAACUGGAAGAAGGCACAUCGGAGGGAAAGGCGGUGAUGCACUGGAGAAGUAAUGAGUACACACCCCGAGAUUUAGUUUCAGGUAUUUGAAAGGAUACCUUGUUGAGAUGGGCCUGCAGAUAUUAUUUGGAAACUUUCUAUAGUGUCCGUCUAAUUCUUGUAAAAAGUAUGGUUUAAUUUUAUUGUUAUGCUCUUCUGUGUUUUCGAAUUGUGUGCAAGUCACAAGGGAAGAAAAAAUGAAAUGUAUGUCUACAUUGCAGAGGGAGGCAAUGAGGGGAGAUAGUCUUGAUGAAGAGGCAACAGGAAGAGAGACAGACAGUAGAUGAAGAUAAAAACACAUUUUGUUGGGGCAAGAGAGAUUUGAGGUGCCCACAGUAAUUGCUUUUUUUUUCUCAUGAAGAGGGCAUUGACCUUAGUUGGUUAAGGUAUUGAGUUGGUAUGCAGGUUGGGAAUUUGGGAAAAAAAUGCAUAUGUUUGAUUUUUACUAGCGUGAGUUACAAAAGUUGGAUUUUUUUCUCCCGCAAUAUUUGACUUCAACUACUGGAGAAUUCUGUACACACAGAAUAUAAAAUAUAUUACUGUGCUAUGCA